rnacentral:rRNA from 1 species
AGCGAACGCUGGCGGCAGGCCUAACACAUGCAAGUCGAACGGAUCCUUCGGGAUUAGUGGCGGACGGGUGAGUAACACGUGGGAACGUGCCCUUUGGUUCGGAACAACUCAGGGAAACUUGAGCUAAUACCGGAUGUGCCCUUCGGGGGAAAGAUUUAUCGCCAUUGGAGCGGCCCGCGUCUGAUUAGCUAGUUGGUGAGGUAACGGCCCACCAAGGCGACGAUCAGUAGCUGGUCUGAGAGGAUGAUUAGCCACACUGGGACUGAGACACGGCCCAGAAUCCUACGGGAGGCAGGAGUGGGGAAUCUUGCGGAAUGGGCGAAAAGCUUACGCAGCCAUGCCGGGGGAAUGAUGAAGGGCUUAGGAAUGGAAAAUUUUUUCAGCCGGGACGAUAAUGACGGUACCCGCAGAAGAAGCCCCGGCUAACUUCGUG